rnacentral:piRNA from 1 species
UAUCCAGUAGGUUCUCUUUUGACAAUUUGU